rnacentral:tRNA from 1 species
UGGGCUAUAAGUUAAUUAGACUGGAAGUUUUCAGCACUUCAAGUGGGGAGGGUUCCUUUGGCUCAG